AAUAUUGGGCAAUGGGCGAAAGCCUGACCCAGCAACGCCGCGUGAGGGAAGAAGGUUUUCGGAUUGUAAACCUCUGUCCUUGGUGACGAAAAAAAUGACGGUAGCCAAGGAGGAAGCCCCGGCUAACUACGUGCCAGCAGCCGCGGUAAUACGUAGGGGGCAAGCGUUGUCCGGAAUUAUUGGGCGUAAAGGGUGCGUAGGCGGCCUUUUAAGUCAGAUGUGAAAGACCACAGCUUAACUGUGGGAUUGCAUUUGAAACUGAAGGGCUUGAGUGUCGGAGAGGGUAGUGGAAUUCCCGGAGUAGCGGUGAAAUGCGUAGAUAUCGGGAGGAACACCAGUGGCGAAGGCGACUACCUGGACGACAACUGACGCUGAGGCACGAAAGCUAGGGGAGCAAAC
rnacentral:rRNA from 1 species